CCAGACCCGGGGGUCUAGUCCUUCCCACCCUUACCUCCACGAGUCCUGGGGUUUUUCUUACCAAGACGGAAACAAUGGAGAUGAUAGGUGAAACGAGAUUGGGAAAACGUUGAGUUCGUGAAGGAGAAAACUGAAUGGGAGCCCAGCCUCAGAACACUGGAUGCUGUUAGCUUUUGCUGUCCUCCUGGGUCAACUUUGUUUCUGAGCUUCCCGCAUGUUUGCCUGUAG